UAAGAUCGAGCAACGUCCCUGGAUUAAACAGUUCUCCAGGAGUCACCUCAGAAACCACUAUUAAUAGUAAUAGAUUUUUGUUUCUUCUCCCAAUGAUAUUUCCAUGGCAACAUUUUCCCGUGCGCUGGUGGCUGGUUGGGGGUUCCCGGGGCGGGCUGGCUCCUGGGCAGCUUCAUUUGCUCCGCUCCUUCCCCAAAGGUCAGCUGAGGGCAGCAGGAGCCAAAGGGUUAAUUACUUUUCCUCACCAGGGUUAAAGUCGCACAGAUUGCUAUUGAGACAACUGUAUGGACGACCCGCAGGUUUUGACAUCCCAGCUUUUUUUCCUGUGGCAGAGCAAAUGUUAGCAGGGAGAGCAGCGAGGGGGAAAAGCCCCGCGAGCUGCUCCCCACACGCAGCCCCCCACUUUUCGGUCAGGCUACUCACUCUUGGUGCCGUCUUGCGCAGUUUUGCCCAGACCACAGGGACUGAGCGCAAAAGCUAUCAACAGCCAAGAAGGACGUACUCUGUGAUUUCUCUGUUCAAUGGAUUUGAACAAUAUUUCAACUUAAAUAUUUGAGGAGAGCCGGUUCCCCCAGAUGCUCUGUUUCACUAGCCUCAAAUUCAUCACUAACGGCACUUGUUUCCCUCAAAAGACUGAGUGGGGAUUGCAGGUUCUGGCUCCUUCCUUAAGCCUCCCAUGGAAAGAAAGUUCUUACUUUUUGUGGUACACUCUCCCAUAAAUGUUACAAUGGUAAAAGUCAAUAAUGCAAAGCAAGAGAAAAAAAAAGGGGGGGUGUCACCUUUCUCAGCCUUAGCUUCAGCCUCGUAUCUUCUGGCUACUCUUUUCAAACUCAGUGUUGACUAAAUUACAUAAAUAAAUGAUAAAAGGAUCAGGCACUGAUGAUUAAAAUAUCCAUUACAAAUCUGGGAACUGCGACUCAGCUUCUUGAUUGAUGCAUUGCUUUGUAAACUCAGCAGAAGUUAUAAAUAAUCGCAAUGCUGAUAAACGAUAAAGGGAAGAUUUGGUAAUCAAUCAAUUCAAAUGGGGCUAAAUGGAAGAAUAAUGCAUCAUUUAUAUUUGGCUAUAUUGUGCGGUAUGUAAAUUAUUGAAUACCUGCUAUACCACUUUCACAUCAAGGAGGUGGUGGCCAAACAGCCGAUCAUAAGCAGAAUUAUCCGGCUUCAGCCCUGGCACGCUGUUUGAGCACCUGCGCGGCACACAGGGGCUGGCGGGGAGCCGGGGACCUCGGGAACCUCCUCUCCAGCUCUCUGCUCACCAGUGACAUCUUCCUGGCUACAGCACCUGCUGCCUUCCAACGUUCAGGUAUUAAUUCCCAAGAAAUCAUGUUAAGCAGGAUUACAGACAAUACCAUUACAUUAAGGCUAAAUGCAUUACGGGGACUAUCCACCAAGAAAGAGCUUCAAACACCGGAAGCUAAGAGUUAAAAUUUCAUAUAUAACUUGCGUCUGUAACGUAUAAGAGAUGCUAAGAGAUGUUAUGAAAAGCUGUUUCUUAAAGGCACUCAAUCUUAAUUCCAUUAUGAAAUGACCCUGUACAGUGCCCGCAUAGUUACAAUUUGUUCUGAACUCUGUUUGCAAUCUUAUACUUCACUAAAUGAAUUAAGAUGCUGAAUUUGUCAGAAAGGGAAUUCCCGUUUCUCUUUUGCUGCUGGUGACGGGAGGCGCGCGUGGGUCUCGGGCAGCAGAGGCCCAGAGGCCCACGGCCACCACGUGCGUUCUGCAGGCCGCGGCUUUUCUCUGCGAGGAAAUCAGGGAUUUCCAACCAUUAACGAUCUGUGCAUUCUGAAUUUCCCAGAUCUUCGCUCUCACUGGAGUUCACGAUCCUUUCCCUUCACCCUGUCCAUACAGAGCAGGGCAGACACAGGAGCUGAGGGCGCUUCUCUGCUAACUUCUCCAGUACUGCAAGUCCUUCUGUCCCACCUGCUUGGAAAAACUGGGGUUUUCAGGAGAACACAUAAACAUCCAGGGCUGGAUUCAAACAUCCAGGGAAGUCCUAAGUAAACUCAGACAGCUGUCUCGGAUUAACCUGCUUCCUUAGGACUCAGAAACAACAACCAGGGCCGCAAAGUGCUGACGCUGGCCAGGGAGCCAAGGAACAUUUAUUCACUAUUUUGUCAUCCUUAAUUUAAAAUAUACUGUAUCCAAUUUUAUUCACUAAACAUUCUUAUGGCCAAAUGCAGGCUUUCACACUUGCUAUUGAAUCGUUACGUGACUUGAUAUAGCUACGAGUACUUUCAUAGAUUUAAAAGACAGAAAUGGCAAAACCCAGGACUAAAACAUAAAUUUCAGCUGCCUUUUCCUUUAGUAAAUCUCCAGUAGGGUACCACAAUCACUAGGGAUUUGUAAAAGGUUAUUUGGAUACACUUUUGCACCUACAAUGACUGAAAAUGGCACAGGCUUGGAAAAGACGGACUGGACAGACAUUUUUGUCCUUCGAAAUCUUCCUCUUGGCUUUCUAUUGUUGAUUUAUAAUGAGACUGAAAAACAGCACCUCUGAAAACCACCUAGUCUUCACAAAGAGGCAUUUCUCUCCAAAGUACAGCGUGCCUUGGUCACUCUGCUUUUGUGCUCCAAAAUUAGAUCGGGUUUAGGUGAAAAGAACAGUUGGAAACCCCAGGAUGUUGAAGCUGUUUCCUGAUGUUUUAUUCAUUUCACCCAUUUUUCCUACAAAGCCCAAUCUCAACCUCCGAGGGCAAAGAUUUCCCAGGUUGAGAGCAAGCGGGAUCUGUGUGUUAGCUGCAACGUCACCAGGAAAAACACGCAGGAAAACCACCCACCCUGCCCAGCAUCUACCUGUUGGCCCCAGACAGGUACUCACUUCCACACUCUGACCCUCAGCAUCUUCAUUUUCCGUCAGCUUGCAAAUCCCAGCUAAUUAGAUUCCUUAUGAUUCCUGACUUUCACAGUUUCUAAUUAGUCUUUUUGGCAGUCUACUACCUAAAUGAAUUGUGAUAUUCCACUUGGUAAGGUAAACGAUAAAAAACCCAACAUCACCAUUUCUUCUUGGGGUUAUUUACCUCGUGGUAAAGUAAUUCUGUUCUAAGGACAGCACGUUUCAACUUUGCAAUUAAACUGGGAGUCAUUCAAAUGAAGAAAGGUGAAAGGAAACAAAACCAGGUUGAAUAUUAACUCCCGUUUUCUGUUCCAAAGUGAUUGCUCAGAUUAGGAGCCUUAGUUGGGAAGCUGUUAGAAGGUUGCGCCCCCAGAUAGCGCUGAAGGUCUGGACACGAGACAGGCACAAAACCACUGCCCGCGGGGUCAGGCACGGUCCUCGCUCACCUGGCAGAGCUGACGGGGACAAUUCUGCACCCAGUUCUCAGCCGCUGCGGAGUCACUCGGGAAGAACACAACACACCGAGAGGUAAGAGAGGCAUAAAGAUCAACCCUAAACUUAGAGGAAGUUUCAUUCAUGCAAGUGUAGGAUGACGAGGGAUGGUUUCCAUUGCAGGAGGAGGUGGAUGAACGUGUUAUUUCAUCAGAGCAAUGCAGGUUUCUGGAAGUUGUGGACCCACCAGGUCCACAGCUGCUUAAAUAUCACAAUAGUUGUUCAGCACAAAUUCGAACAUCAACCGGAUCACCUCUGGAGCUGGUCAGUAAGCAAUUGAUAAACCACAGAUCUUUCUGGAAAAGAGAGCACUAGCAGCUUGUCCAGGGUGAUUUUCUGUAGCAAAAAUAAUUUGAGCAACAAGUGGUAAAUAUUUUUCACCUCCAUCUUCAUCCAGUGCAGCAGAAUCACUGUGCUGCUUUUUAGAUUUCCAAUCUGAAGUUCAGCAAACAAAAUCGCCACUUGCUGCUCAUCUCUCAGCCAUUGCUGCAACACCUGAGCUGGCUCAGGCAACCCAGGUCCAAGAAUAAACCUGAGCGGAAAAUACACCCUAAAAAAUCUACAAUUCUCCAGUCCAUACUCAUGACCCAAAAGGCGCUAAAAUGAGUACUACAUUAUAAUUUCUUAUUGUCUUUAGAAUAUUUAGCUGAAGUCAGUUUAGGCAAGACCUAGUGGGUAGUUACAUUCAUACCAGUAUCUGAAUUUGGUUCGGGCAGCUCACACCACCAGGAUUCUCAGGAUGAAAUCAACCUCAUCUCUGCGCGCAAUAUUUUAUGCCUGGAGGUCUCUGUAUUUCCCCAUCCAAAAGGCAUUUCUGCACACAAAACGAGCAGAUUAUCUGAACAGUUCGGUAUCACACCCAAAAGUGCUCUUUGCGGGCGCAAUUAUGCAUUCAAAGCUUGCUUAAACAGCACUAACAUUUUAAUGAUCUUUGGGGAAAAUCUAUUGUAGUUUAUAUUUGUAAGAGAGCAGAUUUCUCCCCAUAUCCACUACCAAUCCUUUGUCAAAUAAUUAUUUUAGGAAAGCAAACGAGCAAGAUGCAAAAGCACUACUUUUUCUCGACCAAAAUGAAUUUCAGAGAAGGAUAAAAAGACUAUUCAUGAGUAACUCUGCAUCGCUUUCCUAUGGUUGCUCUCAUUGUGCAAAGAAACAGAAGAUUCAGGAAAUUAGUCGAGAUCUUCAUCCUCUAGAUCCCCAAGAGUCCUUAUCCCUUCAGAAUAAAUAAUGCAGAAACAGUCUACAAAGCUGAAAACAAACUUGCCUGUUUCAGUGCCUACCAAACUUCUAUCAGCAUUCAGCAUUUUACAGGAAAGAUUUUCCAAACAAUAUUUUUCUGAGUGCAGGACUAAAUCAUUGUGUAGAAUGUUUAAUAACGGCUUUAACAAAAGCUUGCCCUGCUCCGUUGGUUUUGUCGCCACCUGGUACUCCGGCAGCGGACAAAGAGUUAAUGUCAAAAUACAUCUUCUGGUACCUCGGCUGCUUUUCCUCACCCAUUGUUUUCCAACUUCUUUUGAAUGGUCAGAAAUUUUCUGCCUGAAUAAACUCUCAACAGAAAAAAAAAGAACUGGAGCAAACAGCAAAAUGAGUAAAAUAAAACCAAACUGUGUUGGUAAUAUAGAAAGACGACCUGGUUGUAAAAUGCCAAGUUUCUAGCAGCAGAAUUUAUUGUGAAACUAACGGAAGUUAAAGAUGCAAAUUUUGCCUUUUCGCAGCAAAAUUCUUUAAAGAUAGCGACAUUCUGUACAACAUCAUAAAUCUGGCAACUUUAGCUUUGGGUGACUCGAUACUCAGGACGGAAAAGAAAUUAGCCCAGCUCUUUGGAUGGCUCUUAUAAAAAGGCUUUUAAAAUAACAAACCACAUUUCCUAACGCUAUUCGCGUCUCCGUUCUCCCUAGACUGAAAUGUGAUGCCAGAAGUAGCAUUUCUCACUAAUGCAGAAGAGCUUCUCAUUUUGACCUCGUUUUGAUCCCUCUUAGCGUUCUCAUAUUACUAUUGGUAGCAAAAAAUAUAUUCUUACAAAAAAACCAAGAGCGGUGCAUUUCAGUUAUGGUUAUCUAUUGAUUCGGUUACACUCGAAUUGAUCUCAAAUUGUUUCAAGCAACUGUUCUGCACCCAAAACACCACAUGAACCACAGAAACCAGAUCAAUAGAUUUCAAGUGAAAUAAUUGUUUUCCUUUGUAAGACCCCAUUACUUCUUGAAUGAAGAACUGUUUGAUUGACCUCCAGGAAAGCAGCAGAUGUGAAUAAGCCAAGCACCUCGGGCCUUAUCGUUUAAAGUCAGGCCUUGAAAAUGAGAGGGGAGUCCCCCGAACAUGUGCUCGGUGAGCUGUGGGAAACGCACAGCUGGAGCGGCCGCAAAGCCGCGUUUGCCUCCCACAACAGGGAGCAGCAGGACACGCACGGCGAAAACAGGCGCAGUCACUCGAGAACACGGCAGAAAAAUGCUGCACUAGUUAAAAAAAUAACUCGGCAAUUCUUGAGUGACUGGGUUCGCUUGCCCAGCGUCAGGAUUAGUGUUUUAUCUUGUUUCAUAAAUUUCGCCCAGCUGUGCCACCGAACUCACUUUUUUCACAGUCUCUUACUACAUAAUUCUAAUCCUUUGUGAGCGCAGUCAUUUCCAGAUUGCCACAUGUGUGACGGCUGAGGACAGGGUUGGUGGCACAGAGAUGUUGGAGAUGUGUGGUGGCUGAGGACAUGGGUUGGUGGUGCAGGGAAGGUGUUGGAGAUGUGUGGUGGCUGACAACAAGGGUUGGUGGUGCAGGGAAGGUGUUGGAGAUGUGUGGUGGCUGAGGACAGGGUUGGCGGUGCAGGGAAGGUGUUGGAGAUGCGUGGUGUCUGAGGACAUGGGCUGGUGGCACAGAGAAGGUGUUGGAGAUGUGUGGUGGCUGAGGACAUGGGCUGGUGGUGCAGGGAAGGUGUUGGAGACGUGUGAUGGUUCACAACAAGGGUUGGUGGUACAGGGAAGGUGUUGGGGACAUGCGGUGGCUGAGGACAUGGGUUGGUGAUACAGGACAGAGCAGCUGGACAGAGGGUUAGACACCUUCUGACAGUGAAUUUGCUAGAAGUCACAACCUUGACAGGCUUGACCCAUCCAUCUCAGCCCAAUAUACGGUGCUCUUCCCGUUAUACAGAUCUCAAGAGCACACAGCAACAGCAAAAUUCCUGCUCAGGUAAUGCAAACAUGGGUGUUCUCCCAGCAGGCACCAAUAGCAAAUGACACAAAACAUACGUGCCCCUACUUAUAAAAUUCAGUUUUAAUAUACAAUUCUCUUUUUAGGUAAUAUCUACCCUCACUUGACGCUUCCACCCACAAAAGAGGUAGGACCUGAGAAUACAGCGGUGUUAGUUUUGUGUCUUAGGACAAGCUGCUGUCCCUAGUACCAGUCUUCCUGGCACGGGAAGCUUUUAUUUCUUUUAUUUAUAGUGCAAAUAAAUGAAAUUCUCACAUUACAGCUUAGAAUGUUUUUGUAAGGAAGUCUUGGUUGGCUCCUUGCAUAUAUUCGACCUGAUUUGGGCUUUACUCGUUUAUGAGCACAAUUAACCGCAAACGCUUUGUCAUAAACAUUUUCAAAGGUCAAAGAGAUUGCAACAAUUUUGCUAAAGAGAUAAAUGGUCAAAUAAAACAUUGAAUUGUUAAUUCCCAGGUGACAAAAAGCUGCAUGAGCCAGAUCAAUAAGAAGACACACAGAACGAAUUCUGGGACAAAGGGCGGGUCAACCUUCAAGUGUUAAUAACUUGCCCCUGUUGUUUUGUUCGGGCGCAUUGUGUGUUCUAGCAGGGAACAUUGCUGUUAAUAGCAAAUUAACACCCACAGAUCCACAGAAGUAAAACUGGGCAUGAGAGAUUACUGCAACAAAAAGUUUUGAAAGGAUUUAGCUCUGCUAACACAAGGAAAAACAUACAAAAUGUUAUAAAAGACAGGUUUACUAUUUCUAAUUGAAAAUAGUUGCUGGACAGGGAGAUGUCUCUUCCUCUCGCACUCUGCAGUUUUUCUCUUUUCAACCUUGUUCUUAAUGCCUGGGCUUUUAUUAAACAGUAGCUGUCAAAACCAAACAGCCUUACUGGAGUUAAGAAUUGUAAGAAAUCGGUGCGUUAGAUGAAAACGGAGUAUGUUGAAGCAGAUAUUCAGCUGGUGUGUUCUGCCAACGCUGCUGUGACAGAACUGGGGCAGUUUGUAUCGGUGGUUGUGGAAGGUCAGAUACAGAAACGAGCAUCCUUCCCAGAUACGUGUUUAGGAGAAGGGAGAUCCCUUUUUUAUCCUUUUGAAGUAGAGAAUGGUGUGACCAUUAUGUUCAGCAUCUCUGUCUGCUGAAAACAGCCUUUUAUAACUACGGCUACUUUAGAAGUUAGCCCUCCUUUCCCUGGGAAAAUCAUGCCUUGCUGUCACAUGCUGAGCAUUCAACUCACCAAAAUGCAAGUUUGGAAUUGAAAAUGUACGAUUGGCAGUCAAGAUUGACUAAACUUGAAUAAAAAGUUCAUCGGGUCAGAACAGUGGAUAUGGAAGAAGGACUUAGGGAAUCAUUUAGGAGACACUGCUAUCUCCAGCCCAUCCCAUUCAAUACAAUAUUAGUUGGACUGCACUAAAUGUCAUGUGAACUGUACUUUGUUAUGAAAACUACACUCAUUCAAUUUUGUGACUACCUGAGAUGAGUCGACUAAUAUUUAUUUUCAAAUUGUUAAAAUUUCCUUUCCAUCUUAUUCACAAAAUUCCAAUAGGCAGCAUGUAAGUGCUGAGUAUGUCGCUGACUCUGUAUGGAAUGACUGUGGUCUAGAAACUACCUCUCAUUUACCAGCGAAGUAGGACGGGCUCCUAUUUUCACUUUUUUCUAAAAAGAAAUAUAUUAAGGAGAAUUUCGGGCUGGUGGAAAGAGGCCACCUGAAGAAGUCUCUUCUCAAAACUAUUUGGCUUUUUUAGACCCUUCCAGAGAAGACUGCAAGAUUAAAAGUUAAAUGCAAAGUAAAUUAUGUCGCCAUUAUUUAAUUCAGGACAUUUUUGAGUAAAAGAGAGAGUUUUCGUAAAAGGGACUAAGCAACUUAUGGAAGACAAAGCACAAAAAAAUGUAAAAGUCUAUCAGAAAUAAGUAACUCGUCAUGUGCAGCAAAUUAUAUGGCCCAGUAUCCAUGGGAGGAACUGAGGAACUGCAACAACUGCAAAGCACCGUGCAGGGGUGCAAAAUCCAGACAGCAAUGUCUGUAUCCAUCCCACUGCACUCCUGAAGGCAAAUGAACAUUUGAAAGGUCAGUAAUUUUACUUCUGCCUAAUUGGAUGCCAGUAAUUUGCAUAAGACUGGUAGUCAAAUACCAGUGUAAAUUCCCCCUGUCCUAUGUAAAUGUAAAUGUAAUCACCCCAUACCUCUACCAGCAACCUUAAGGCAUCUGGCAGGAAAAAUGGAGAGCACAAAACCAUAAAGGAUGCCGGACUAAGGGAUACAUACAACAGGAAAUACUGCAUGACAAACACCUCAUGUGCUUUAUAAAUGCCAUGAAAACAUGAUGUACUCUGACAGCAAAUUUUAAUGUCCUGUUAACUCCUCAUUGAACAAUUUUACAAAUGGAGAUGAACUCUCCUUUUCUAGUGAACUCCAGAAAUAUUUGUUGGGAUUUAUGCAGACUGCAAUCUAAAAGGAUUUUUUAAAAUUCAUUUUAAUACUUGAACAAAAAUUGACUCAACCAGUUUCUAAAUCAACUUUGAGGUGUGAGUUUUAGCUUUAAAAAGAGACAGACAUAUUAGUGUAUUUUUCACUUUGUGUCUUCUAAAAACAUCACUUGAUAUCUACAGCAUGAGGCCUCAAGGCUCAAUCCAUCAAGGGCAGUUAUGGCACUAAAAUUAACCACUAUGGGGUCAGGACUUAGUUAGGUUUUCAUAGAGUGUUUAAAAUUUAAAGAGAAGCCUAAGAGACCCCCACAAUUCUAAUAGAACAGUAAUAAAUACUAACAAUGUGACGUCCUACCCCUCAGCAGCUCCUCAGGGUUUUAUAAGAAAUCCUGGUGCUUUCCAGCCCUGUUUUUCUCUAGAUCAGGUACCAAGAACCUGUCCUCAUUCAGAGUUUUUCUAUUCCCACCACCUCUUUGCUGAUCUUUUUUACGAAAGUGGUAAAAAAAAGACUGAUGGCAAACAAUACACUGGCACCUACUGGAAUCUGUGCUGCAAACUCCACUGUCCUUCAAGGAAAACUGACACAUACAGUGACUUUUUUGGGCGCUUUCCCCAGUCCACAAGCCCUAGGAAAUGAUUCAUUCAGCAGCCCAGGGGUUUGCAGGAUACGAGAACUUCCCAGAACACCCUCGAAAUUACAAGCAUGUGUCACCACCCCAGGGCACAGGAGAAAACCUAAAGUCCCAAACUACCUUUGCUCUCCUGUUGCUGUUGUUGCGGAUGAACCCACGUUACAGUCCGUGGAUUUCUGGCCAGCAGGAAGAUCACACGCCGCCAGGCCUGCAAGGAAAGAAAGAGUUCUUUAGGUUGCUUUAAAUGGCGAUUUCUUGAGGUUGCUUUAAAUGGUGAUUUCUUGAGGUUGCUUUAAAUGGCAGGGCAAGGUAAGAACAGGCUGCUGGUGCAUAAAGAGUCUGUGAGGGUGACAGUCUGUGGGGCUACUUUCAUACCCCCGUUACAAUACCCAUCUGUUUAGCUGUUGUUAAGGGUUCUGUUUCAUCUGUCUCCCUUCUCAUUUCGAUCGCUUGAUUACAUUUUAUGACACUGGAAACAUAUAAGUGGGGUGAUUCUACCCCUUAAACAUCCCAACAUCUGCACAAAGUGCAACCGUUUUGAUGCAGAUGCUUGCUUUGUUUUGCUAUGAACUUAGUUUUCAAAGAGUCCAGACUUCAAUUAGAAAUCACGUGCUUUGAUCUUAUAUUUGUACACUGACUCGCUCUAUAUUAAACCAAAAGUGACUGAGUUGAACUAAUCAUCUGAGCUGACAAGUUUGACAGACGUUAUGCAGCAACAGCAAUAUAGGAAGUUUCCUCAUGUAACAAAGGAGAGAAAAAACUGGUUUAAAAUCAUAUCUAUUUACCAAUUUUUAGUUAGUUCAGACAGAACAUUAGGUGUAAUAGUAUUUGUAUCACCCAAAAUACAACAUGGAAUAAAAGUAUUCUGUGUUUUGCAUAUCAUGCUUUUUACCAACCCAAGCCACUGUUUUAAAUCACUAAUUUACAUUAAAGUCUCGUUGGUCUGCCAAGAGAGGAAAAUGAACAGUACUUCAUAUGAGCCUUCUGGUAACCCUGAUGGAAUAGAAAUGUUAGCUUAUUAAAGAAAACGCCACUUACUAAAUAUCCACAAAUUACUAGAUAUCCCAGAGUGACUGCUACACCAGUUUAAAUGUUUCAAAAUGCUAACGCAAUUUAUACAAAUUGAAUAACACGGUACUCACAAAGUACUGAACUAGAAAAGCUCUCCUGUCUCACAAAGGCAGCCUGGCACGCUGAAGUGUAACUAAUUCUCAUGCAGUUUUAUUAUCAAAUGAAUGUGAUCUGACCUCAUCAGUGUGGUCAUUUUAAGAAGAGAGAGACAAGCGCUGUGCAAGUGCACGUCCUAUGCACUGCCAGCUCUCCUGGUUCCAUUAGAAGCUCCUGGGUGUCCCCUGGGCCCCCAGAUCCAAGGGCAGAACCCAGCAGGAGAACGCAAAGCCCAGGUGCUCCGCAAACAAUGCAGAUUAAUGGUGAUUAAUAACAGCAUCAGCUUUGACUGGACAUUUCUGGUACCACCCUGCUCACUGGAUCGUGUCCUCUCCUUGCUUUCCUUUCUGCUUUCCCUGUCCCUGCCAGGUUCAGCUCUGGUUCGUCCCUGUGUGUGACCACACCAAACAUACGCAAGGAGAACAAUCACAAUCAUGGGAAGGAAUCUGUAAAAAUACAUACUUUACAUACAAUUGCGAUAGCUUCCUAAUAUUAGGCAAGUCACGACAGCACCAGAUGUUGUUCAAACCCUAUGUAAGAGCUGGCGUCCAAAGACAACAACAUCUAUAGGUACAACUGCCCAGACAUAGACUGUAAAGUCACCUCUUUAUGUAAACCGCCCGACACACCACAGCAGUGGUUUGUAGAACACCUGCUGGUGCCCGAAGGGGACAUUCUAAUCAUGUUUUAAUGGCCCUUAUCACAAGAAGAGACAAAGUGAAUGUCCGAGUUCUGAAUGGUGCUGAUCCCCUUGCCAGCCCGGGUGCUUGCCAGUGUAUUAAACAAAAUCUCAUGAGUAUAGAAUUGCAAUGAGACCAGAAUUAAACGCUCAUUAAAAUCGCAUUGCUGACCUUUUAAAAUGGCAAUUUAGAAUCGCUGUGGCUAAAGGAACUGUAAGGGGACAAUAAAAUCCCACUAGAACUUCUUCGGUCUCUGGUCAUAGCCACACACAAAUACACACAAAUUGAAAUAAUGUGAUGCCAGUCAGCAGAGGCAGAACAACAUAAUACAGUAAAAGGAGACCUAGUCAUGUUGUUUAGGACAUUUAAAUGUUUCUGCCUUCUAAAAUACAGACCUUGAACAAAAAUUCAUGCACAAUCAUACACCCACUUUGUACUGUCGAUUACAAUUGUUUCGUGUCAAAACCGAGCACUGUCGACACGAAUGUCCAGCUGGAGUCAGAGCGCCAGCGUUGAGGAGGCAAAACAUCUCCUGCGGUUCAUGCAGGGCUGGGAGGAAAGACAAGGAAGCCACCAAAUGUCCCAUUAGGAGUGGCUGUGAUACACAGGGCUGUGUUACCAGUGUGGAGCUGAUGCAGCUGGCACUGCAGCGUCUAAUACAAAACGUCCCACGGCGACUCUGAAAGGCACAGGCUGCUAGAGAACCAGCUCAAAAAUCAACUGCAAGGAACAGUUUUCCAUUGCUUUCUCUUAAGUAUCAGCAAGUGCUGUGGUUUGCAGCAGUUCGACUGUAGGCAGCGGUUUGUGCGGGUGGGAGGUGCGACACCCGGUUGCGCUCCCAGACGUGGCGACCGUGGCACACGGGGAACUGCAGAUGCAUCUCCUCACACGGCCCUUGGCACCGGAAAACCAGGGUAUUUCUUGUUAUAGUCUUCUCUCCGUGUGUGCGUGUACGUCUGUAAUAGCCCACAAAGCCCUCUGUUUCGAUAAAUUGCUAGUAACACGUCAAAGAGAAAUAUUCGUGUCUCUAAAGUUCCAGUGAAUUUUGGCCAAGUUCAGGACAGGUGCCAAUUUAGGGCUGAAUAUAAACUAAUGAGACAUAAAAAUGCCCCCUUGGUAAUUCUUUUACAAUGCAGCAGGGGGGCAUUUCUUCUCUGCCAGCUCCUCUUAUUAAAUGUCCAUCAAUGGGAAAUUUGGAAUAUCCUUUCAGAGCGUUUCUUUGGAAAAACAGCAGAAACUUGUGAAGUGUGCAUCACUUUAAAACUCUUACGAAUGCCACGGUUCUUAUAAAUUAGUUUUUCAAAAUCAUCUUUUGAGUUUUGCUUUCAGAUCUUUUCCCCCCCCACUUCCUGAGACAUGUUACACACUUGUUUUUAAAAUCUUUAGGAACACGGAACAAUCUGUUCUCCUGCCCGGUGCCUACUGAGUUUUUUGGGAACAGCAGGAUUUCUUUAAUGCUUCUUAUUGAAUUUCCCUACUUUCUCAUUUAAGGGUAGAAAAGCAACUUCUAUUCCGCACCCCUCUUAGCAGAUUGUAGUAAAAGAGGAGAGAGGGAAAAAAACCCCCACACUAAAGCUCUGACAGAUGGUACCCAGCGUUUGACUCAUGCUGGGCUCAGCAGGACCUAUAGUUUAGAAGGUUAGGACUGUCAAAAAGACUCUGCUUAUCAAGUGAAUAACAAAGUGCGAACUGCCGGGCUGUUUCCUAUAGAAAACUUGUCUUUCACUUGUAAUUCUCAGCUAUCUUUCUGGCGCUUCCGAAACUUUGGAGGAGCAGAUGUGUGCUUUUCUGUCGAAGGAACAACUUGGAAGGCGAUGUCCCGCGAGCAGCCGGCGGCACCAUAGGCCUGGCUUUAGGAAUCGUGCCCCCGUGCUGGUGUCAGCGCCGCGGUUUGGGGAGCUCGCAGGGGGGUUGAGAGCAAGGAGAGAACUCUUCUGUGGCAGGCAGUGAAAAAUUCACCUUCUUUGAGGAUCGCUGUAGCAAAGGAACGGCAGUGAACUGUGAGCAAAGCCAGGAAGGUCUGAGCAUAAAGCAGCAUUUACCACGCUCUUCUUUUUAAGCCCUUUCCAAGCUCGCACCACUCAGCAUCUCCAUCCCAGUACAGAAGUAUCUAAAGUGACAACAAAUGUUAGCGAGCAGACCUGAAAGCAAUAUUGAAGUCUGGAGACACAGAAAUGAAAGGUUAAGAGCUUGUAGCCACGUUUACUGCCUAUUCAGAAUCUGUGCCUCAAAGAACGCACUAUUUAAAUGGAAAAAUGCACAACAAGACGUAACAAGCGGGAGAGUCAGAAACAAGGCGAGAAUUACAGCAACUGGAGGGGAGAGGUCAGUUUAAUCAUUAUCAAUAUCCUUAUCUAGUCUUCCAAAAACUUCUAAGGAGCUUCUUUGAACAACAGAACCUUCUUCAACACCUCACUGGAAAUUCAGUUGGGCUGGCAGCAAGAAAAUAUUUCUCUCUCUUCUUCAACCUGGAUAAAAGUCGCAGACUGGGAAAUCUCUGCAGGCAAAUGUGAUGUCUUUAUAGCAAUCUCACAAUUACCUGUAGAGAUUCUACAAUCUGGCACCUUCAGACACAGUAAUUAUAAAGUAUUCAGUUCUUCAUCUUCUGCACCUCUGCUGAGCUGGGCUGAAUUGCGUCCAAAUUGCCUGAGUAGCACGGAGCCAAUGGCAAGCUUUCCUCCUUAAUAAUUUUCACGAUCCAAAAGUUGAAAAUAAAAGCAUAAAAACUACACAAAUUAACCUACUGGACACUGGAAAACUACUGCUGAUGUCUGUAUACUAAGGAAUAAAGUUAUUCUAGGUUAUAUCUCCACUAUGAGCGCUCCAAUAAUAGGCUACACCUACUGUUAACUGAACCUGAAUCACAACCGGGUUUUCACGCCGUGAGGGAAGAGUUCAGUUUGGUUUUAUAUGAUGAUGCUGUGAAGAGCUAUUUGCUUGACCAAGUUUUGGGCACAGCAGCAAGAGUACAUCACUUUGAAAGAAACGCCUUUUUCAGAUAAGAAAAUACCUAGCAAUGCAGGCCUUCAUUAAUGGAAAACAGUAACUCUUUUUUCUCACUUAAAAUAUCCCUAGAUCUAUCUGGUAUUUGGGAAGUUUUAGCUCAUUCAACUAGAAUGACAUUCAACAGAUUGAUAGUUGGAAAAAUAUUUAUUAGGGCAUAGGAAGGCAGAAAGUCUUGAAUGUUCUUGAAACACUGAGGCGUCGAUCCCCCUCAGAAACUGUGUCCCCAAAUUCCUGCCUACGUACCCCAGAAGACUGACCUCUGGAAAAUUCAUUCCACCUGAACACGACUUACGGAAAAGCUGGAUAGGAGGACAAUGUGGCGUGAAAGGACAUCAACGGUGAUGCUGAGCUGCUCAUGCGAGAAGGCAGAGGCAAGCAGGAUCGCAACGUUUAUCUGGGUUGCAAGCCAGAUAGAGACUGAUUUUCUCAGUUAAUGCUCUGCUAGAGGACUAUUACACACUUGUCACUUCGAAGACCCGUCAUUACAACGUUUGUCACUUUGAGGACCCAUCGCACCCACUUGCAAUCCUGCUGAGAAGUCACCAUGCGCCUGGGCUGUCGGGAGGUCCCUUCGCUUCCAGCUCAGCUGCUGGGGCGGGAGGACACGCCAAGCACAGGGUCACUGCUCCACAAGGAGGGCACAAAAGGCAAAUAUUGAUACUGCUUAGGUAGGAGAAGAGGCAAGAGCACACCAGCGAGGCAGAGCAAAGGAACGGGGCGAGCUCUUGUUGCAAAGCACCAGAGCCAGCAACUGCGCUCCACCCCCGGCCAAAAAGGAUCAGCGGGAUGGUUUGUAAUUCCAAAGUGAUGCCCACACUUUUUCUAUUGCUCCCUCAUUUUACGUCUCCUCUGUUCUCCCUGUUUACAAGAGACAUAAACUCAGCCCGCUGUGUGACCCUCCAGUUCCCAGCAAACCACGAUUCCCCCAGCAGAGUCUCCACCUUUAUUCUAGAUUUGAAUUUAAAUACAGGCUGAAAUAAAGGUAUGAGUUUAACCUAUUAUUCUCAAACAAGUGUUAAUUGAUGAAUGAUGAGGGCAAGCAUGUGCAACUACCAAGAUUCUGGCUGAUAACUGUGCAUGCAGGUACAAUUGGCAUGUCAGCAUCUGCAAAUAAACAGUGGUGAUAUCCUGGAGUAACUCAAAACAAUGGCAAAGCCCCAUCCAUUUCAAUAUCAUGAUUGUUUCAACACAAGCCUUAAAUAUUAUUUCUGGGACUGGAGGCAGAACUGCAGUUGGAACCAACACAUUUUCCCCAAUCAGACCCUAAUAAAUUACCCUGACUUUUAUUAAAACCAACGUGAUCUUGUCUCCUGUGUCUUCCCAGAGACUGUUUUAAUCAGCCAUAAAAUGUGCUGUGCAAUAAAAACAUCAGUUACCUCGUA